rnacentral:rRNA from 1 species
CUACGGGUGGCUGCAGUGGGGAAUAUUGGACAAUGGGCGAAAGCCUGAUCCAGCAAUGCCGCGUGGAUGAAGAAGGUCUUCGGAUUGUAAAGUCCUUUCGGCGGGGACGAUGAUGACGGUACCCGCAGAAGAAGCCCCGGCUAACUUCGUGCCAGCAGCCGCGGUAAUACGAAGGGGGCUAGCGUUGCUCGGAAUGACUGGGCGUAAAGGGCGCGUAGGCGGUUUGAUCAGUUAGGUGUGAAAUUCCUGGGCUUAACCUGGGGGCUGCACUUAAUACGGUCAGGCUAGAGUGUGAAAGAGGGUCGUGGAAUUCCCAGUGUAGAGGUGAAAUUCGUAGAUAUUGGGAAGAACACCGGUGGCGAAGGCGGCGACCUGGUUCAUUACUGACGCUGAGGCGCGAAAGCGUGGGGAGCAAACAGGAUUA